rnacentral:rRNA from 1 species
AGACGUCUACAUUAGAUACCCGGGUAGUCCCAGCCGUAAACUAUGCGCGUUAGGUGUAUCGGUGACUACGAGUUACCGAGGUGCCGAAGGGAAACCGUGAAACGUGCCGCCUGGGAAGUACGGUCGCAAGGCUGAAACUUAAAGGAAUUGGCGGGGGAGCACCACAACAGGUGGAGCCUGCGGUUUAAUUGGACUCAACGCCGGGAAGCUCACCGGAUAGGACAGCAGAAUGAUUGCCGGGCUGAAGACCCUGCAUGACUAGCUG